AGGACGAACGCUGGCGGCGUGCUUAACACAUGCAAGUCGAGCGGUAAGGCCUUUCGGGGUACACGAGCGGCGAACGGGUGAGUAACACGUGGGUGAUCUGCCCUGCACUCUGGGAUAAGCCUGGGAAACUGGGUCUAAUACCGGAUAUGACCUGCUCUCGCAGUGGGGGUGGUAGGAAAGAUUUAGUCGGUGCAGGAUGGGCCCGCGGCCUAUCAGCGUUGUUGGUGGGUAAUGGCCUACCGAAGGCGACGACGGUAGCCGACUGAG
rnacentral:rRNA from 1 species